CCCUUAGAUGUUCUGGGCCGCACACGCGCUACACUGAAGGAGGCAGCGUGUACUCCUGGAUCGAAAGAUUUGGGUAACCCGCGAAUCUCCUUCGUGCUAGGUAUUGAGGUUUGCAAUUAUCCUUCAUGAACGAGGAAUUCCCAGUAAGUGCAAGUCAUAAGCUUGCGCUGACUACGUCCCUGCCCUUUGUACACACCGCCCGUCGCUACUACCGAUUGAAUGAUUUAGUGAGGACUUCGGACUGGGACCGAUGCGGCUUUCGGGCUGCGUCGGUAUUCUGGAAAGAUGUCCAAACUGUAUCAUUUAGAGGAAGUAAAAGUCGUAACA
rnacentral:rRNA from 1 species